AUUUUUAAAAUUAGGCAGACAAGCGACAAAUUAUUAACUUUUCUGUUAACUUUAAUGAAAUUGGUUACCUUUUAGAGAAAUGACAUUUUUGCCACGUGACUUUGUUUAGCACUAAAGGCACCACCAAUUCGAAAACGAUAUUUCUACCCUUACUCAUUGAUUUUUAAUUUUUCUUUUAUGAAAAAUAUAAGUUAAAUCUAAAUCUGAGUUUUUUUAAGGUUAAAUCAAACUAAUAUUUCAAACAAAAUUCUCGUUGAAUCAAACUAAUUUUUUAACAUAAAAGAAGAAGCAAAUGACUCAAAUAUUCAAGAAUCCAAUAUAAUGGGUUGGUAAACAUUUGUUCUUUCAUAGCAAUCAAUCUAUCUACAAGUCCAGUAGUAACAAAGGUAUCUAAUAUAUUUUUUCAACAAAGCUCAAUCAAUAUCUUUUUCUCAUGUCUCUAUCAAUUACAACACCUUUGUAUCGUUAGAGUUAACGGUAAAACUUAACGAUUUGUCAUUUGUAAGAGUAUUUUCUAAACAAUUGUCACCUGUGUGAUAUAUGCCAAAACAUGUGUCACCCAAGUGACAUUACCCCUUUUGUUUUCUAUUAUUGUAUCUAUUAUUCCCAUUUUACCCUUGCGUCGUUACAAUUAACGGUAAAAGUUUCUGAAUUGUCACUUAUCUGUCUAUUUUUUAAAUCAUAUUGCCUUUCAAUAUUUGUUGAAACAUGUAUCACCCAUAUGGUAUUAACCCUUUAAAAUAUUAUACAAUCAACUGGCAUAUUACAAUUAUGAAAUACCACAAACAUAAAUUUAUAUAAUAAUUGUUAGAAUAUCUAUAUUUGAGUCUUAAUUGUUAUUUGACAUUAAUUUAUUAGAUAGAAAAUCUCUUAACUGGUGAAAUUAUGAUUCUACCAUUCAUUAAAUGAAUAUCACAUUAGUUGUGACUCAAAUUAUAACUCAAUUAUUGAGAUUCUUGGUAUUAUUUUAAUUUUAUAUACUCACUUAUUUAUAAAAGGAAGAUAUUAAGUUUCUUAGGAGUCUCCAAAACCUUGUCCUCAAAGAGUGAUUAUGACAUGACUUAUUUUAUUUUAUUAAAAUUUUGAUAGCAACAUUAAAUUACUUGUUUUAAACAAUUUUUUUUAAAAAAGAUUUGGGUAGAAAUUAAUCUAACCAACUAUUUCAACACUUGCCUUUUUUAUCAUUUAAAUUAAGUGCUCAGUUGAUUGUUGGUACAUAACAUAUUCACGAUUGAGCUACACCAAAAAAAAAAAAAAAAAUGAUGUUAAGUAUUGUUUAUUCAUGAUGAUUGUGAUUAUAUAUAAGUAAUCAUUGUCGAAAAAAUAUGCUAUUCAAUAACUCAACAGGAAAAAAUUAAUAUCUUACGGUUUUUGCAUGGAGUAUCAAAUAAGGCAUCGCUUUUUCCUUUCAAAUCCAAUUGAAAUAAACCUUAUAUUAUAAUAAUAAUUGAUAUCAGCCAAUAAUAAAUCGGCUACAAACUGCCAAAAUAAAUAAAUAAAAUUGUUGGACACGUCAUUGUUCCAAUCGAGUCGGGUGCAUGAAAGAAUGCCCCAGCUGCAUAUUUUAUUGUCGGCCUGAUGCUUGAGAAUGAAGCUUCGUCGAAUUUACUUAAAAAAGGAUUGAUGACUUAAUGUUGUCCCUUGCCGAUUCUAUUGAUUAGAAACAUUUUGUUUAUUGAAAUCAACAAUUUAGCUGCUAAUUACCAUUAUAGUAAUCGGUCAAACGAGACUACACCGUGGCACAUUGGGACGAUUUGAAAGUCAACAUCAAGCAAGUGAGUGUUCAUAAUUUAAUAAACAAAAUGUGUUUUUAAGAAAUAUUAAAGUUUGUCUUUAAUAGGUUUAAUCUCACAAGAUGAGUAUAAUUAAAGAGUACCCUAAUAUUUAAAACAAUUUUUAGUAAAACAAAAAAAAAACAAAAAUCAAAUAUAUGGUCAACGACCCAACUUAAAGUCAAGUACAAAAUACAAGUGCAGGGAAACGAUCUCCAAUUUUCCACAACUCAAUUAUUAUUUGUGUGGUCAGAAUUAUGUAUUUGAAGAUUAGAAUUAUAUACUUUACGGCAUGAAUUGCGCAAUUGCAAAUUUGAUCGCCAAUUUGGCAUUUUUUGUUUCACUGUUUGAAAAAACUUUAUGAUAUUUUUUAAUUUGAGUAAUGAUACAACCACAAACUCUUGUACAAAUUUAUUUUGUACAAACUGAUGUGGCAUGAUAAGAUUAGUUGAAUUAAAUAUCACUUGGCCCACAUGGUUUGUUUUUAUUAAUUUAUAUUUUCAUUCAACCAAUCAAUUAAUGCCACGCCAGUUUGUACAAAAUAAGUUUGUACAAGAGUUUGUGGCUGUAUCAUUACUCUUUUAAUUUAUAAAAUUUGAAUAAAUAUUAUGAAAUUUGAAUAUCAUCAUUUUUUAUGUCUCUAUUCACUGGGGUCAUACUACGGCACUCAGUAUUUAAAGACGAUCACUGAUACAUCGCCUAAACAUGUUAAAUUAUUAAAAAAAUUAAUAAAAUUAAUAAAUUUUUAUUAUCUUAAUUUACAUGUAGAUAGAUCACGAUAACUUUAUAAGAGUAAUGUUAUACAUCUUAAAAGUUUUAUACUAAAAUUUAAUCUCAAAUAAUAUGUUAUUUAUCAAAUAAAUAGUGGAACGAUAUAAUUAAUUCACUUUAAAAUUAUAAAAGAUUAUUAACAAUUCGAUAAAUGACACGUCACAUAUCACAUCAUUUGAAAUAAAAUUUAUGAUAAAAUUUUGAGAAAUCUGUCAUUAAUGUUUUUUUUUUACGUACCGAACUUAUAGCUUAUUGAUUGAUAUUCUGCUUUACAUUUAAGCAUCAAUUUAAUGAAGGAGAAGAUCAUGCCUCAGAAGUCUUUAAUUCGAUUUCAGAAAAUGGUCACAUGCAAUGCACGUGUUAGAUUGACAAACAUGCAAUUUUCAUUGUUAUUGUUUUUUUUUUUUUUUUUUUUGAUAAUCAAGCUCGACAAUUGUUUUGAGGAAGCAUGUGCAACAGAUCACGCCAAACGACAUAAACGGUUGCUUCUAAUUUUAUGCAAUUUUUAUUUUAUUUUCUCUUGAACUAAAGGGAAGACCAAGGCUUAUUGUGUGAAAGAGUAAUCUUCAUUCAAGUGUAUCAUUCGUUUAUUAAAAAAAAAAAGGGGAAAAAUCCACAUAAUUUGAACAAUGCUUGGGAAAAAAAUAAAAGAGGAAAGAAAGAAAACAUUUAUUUCACUUGCAAUUUUACAUAAAUAACUUAUUUUUGGUUUCAAAAAUAGAACAAUACUUUUUAUAAGCAAAAAUACAUUCAAUUGUGUCCAAAUUUAAAGCAUGUUUGAAAGGGAAUGCAAUAAGUUAAAAUUUUCAUAAAAUGGACGACAUUUUUUUUUCAAUUGAAACCCUUAUAUUUUUUUUUGUAAUAACAAAACCAAUGACACAAAUGUGAGAACCGAUUCUUAGAUUCCUUGCAUCUGUCACAAGUUAAUCAUAUCACUUGGCAUGUUAUGAACGCAACGCAAAGGAAACAUGACAAAAGUGUGUAAGAAAGAGAGCAUGUGCAUGUUGUUCUUUAAAAAAAAAACUAAAAAAAAAUAAUAAUAAUAAGAGAAUACGCCAAAACGAAGCUGGGCAUUGGGGCAAACGACCGACAUCGACAGUUGAUAACGAUAAUUUUUAAUAUCUUCCUCUCUUUUUUUUUUAUUAUUAUUAAAUUACUUUUCCUUUUUGAAUUUUGUCUUACACUUAAGCGUAGAGCUGGUAAAAUUUGACAUGAUCCGAUUACCCGACACGAAUAGAACAUAAAUAAAUAAAUAUGAGUCGUCAAAUUUAACACGAUUAUUAAAUGGGUCGGGUCCGGAUCAACACGAUUUUUUCCGUGUCGGGUUUGGGUUAAAAUUCUUGACC
rnacentral:lncRNA from 1 species